rnacentral:rRNA from 1 species
AUAUCAAUAAGCGGAGGAAAAGAAACUAACCAGGAUUCCCCUAGUAACGGCGAGCGAAGCGGGAAUAGCUCAAAUUUUAAAUCGGACUUUUUUGUUCGAGUUGUAAUUUGAAGAGACGUUUUCACGUCAUUUACCAGGUCUAAGUGCUUUGGAAUAAGCCAUCAGAGAGGGUGAGAAUCCCGUGCUGAACCCAAAGUGAGCUUCUCUGUAAUGCGUCUUCGAAGAGUCGGAUAGCUUGGGAAUGCUGUCCUAAUUGGGAGGUAAACAUCUUCUAAAGCUAAAUAUUGGCGAGAGACCGAUAGCGCACAAGUA